rnacentral:rRNA from 1 species
AACUUAAAGGAAUUGACGGAAGGGCACCACCAGGAGUGGAGCCUGCGGCUUAAUUUGACUCAACACGGGGAAACUCACCAGGUCCAGACACAAUAAGGAUUGACAGAUUGAGAGCUCUUUCUUGAUUUUGUGGGUGGUGGUGCAUGGCCGUUCUUAGUUGGUGGAGUGAUUUGUCUGCUUAAUUGCGAUAACGAACGAGACCUUAACCUACUAAAUAGUGCUGCUAGCUUUUGCUGGUAUAGUCACUUCUUAGAGGGACUAUCGAUUUCAAGUCGAUGGAAGUUUGAGGCAAUAACAGGUCUGUGAUGCCCUUAGACGUUCUGGGCCGCACGCGCGCUACACUGACGGAGCCAGCGAGUUCUAACCUUGGCCGAGAGGUCUGGGUAAUCUUGUGAAACUCCGUCGUGCUGGGGAUAGAGCAUUGUAAUUAUUGCUCUUCAACGAGGAAUUCCUAGUAAGCGCAAGUCAUCAGCUUGCGUUGAUUACGUCCCUGCCCUUUGUACACACCGCCCGUCGCUACUACCGAUUGAAUGGCUUAGUGAGGCUUCCGGAUUGGUUUAAAGAAGGGGGCAACUCCAUCUUGGAACCGAAAAGCUAUUCAAACUUGGUCAUUUAGAGGAAGUAAAAGUCGUAACAAGGUUUCCGUAGGUGAACCUGCGGA